GCCACGGCUAACUACGUGCCAGCAGCGCGGUAAUACGUAGGUGGCAAGCGUUGUCCGGAUUUAUUGGGCGUAAAGGGAGCGCAGGCGGUGACUUAAGUCUGAUGUGAAAGCCCACGGCUCAACCGUGGAAGGUCAUUGGAAACUGGGUCACUUGAGUACAGAAGAGGAAAGCGGAAUUCCAUGUGUAGCGGUGAAAUGCGUAGAUAUAUGGAGGAACACCAGUGGCGAAGGCGGCUUUCUGGUCUGUGACUGACGCUGAGGCUCGAAAGCGUGGGGAGCAAACAGGAUUAGAUACCCUGGUAGUCCACGCCGUAAACGAUGAGUGCUAAGUGUUGGAGGGUUUCCACCCUUCAGUGCUGGAGUUAACGCAUUAAGCACUCCGCCUGGGGAGUACGGUCGCA
rnacentral:rRNA from 1 species